AGGAUAGUAGUUAAAUAUAACAUUUGAAUUGCACUCAGAAAGUAUUGAAUCUUCAAUCUAUCUUG
rnacentral:tRNA from 1 species